rnacentral:rRNA from 1 species
UACGUAGGUGGCAAGCGUUAUCCGGAAUUAUUGGGCGUAAAGAGCGCGCAGGUGGUUGAUUAAGUCUGAUGUGAAAGCCCACGGCUUAACCGUGGAGGGUCAUUGGAAACUGGUCGACUUGAGUGCAGAAGAGGGAAGUGGAAUUCCAUGUGUAGCGGUGAAAUGCAUAGAGAUAUGGAGGAACACCAGUGGCGAAGGCGGCUUCCUGGUCUGUAACUGACACUGAGGCGCGAAAGCGUGGGGAGCAAACAGGAUUAGAUA